AGAGUUUGAUCCUGGCUCAGAUUGAACGCUGGCGGAAUGCUUUACACAUGCAAGUCGAACGGCAGCACGGGGCAACCUGGUGGCGAGUGGCGAACGGGUGAGUAAUACGUCGGAACGUGCCCAAUCGUGGGGGAUAACGUAGCGAAAGUUACGCUAAUACCGCAUACGAUCUACGGAUGAAAGCGGGGGAUCGCAAGACCUCGCGCGAAUGGAGCGGCCGAUGUCAGAUUAGGUAGUUGGUGGGGUAAAGGCUCACCAAGCCAACGAUCUGUAGCUGGUCUGAGAGGACGACCAGCCACACUGGAACUGAGACACGGUCCAGACUCCUACGGGAGGCAGCAGUGGGGAAUUUUGGACAAUGGGCGCAAGCCUGAUCCAGCCAUUCCGCGUGCAGGAUGAAGGCCUUCGGGUUGUAAACUGCUUUUGUACGGAACGAAAAGGUCCUGGUUAAUACCUGGGGCUCAUGACGGUACCGUAAGAAUAAGCACCGGCUAACUACGUG
rnacentral:rRNA from 1 species